rnacentral:rRNA from 1 species
UACGAAGGGUGCAAACGUUGCUCGGAAUUAUUGGGCGUAAAGCGCACGUAGGCGGCUCAACAAGUCGGAUGUGAAAUCCCUCGGCUCAACCAAGGAAGUGCAUCCGAAACUGUAGAGCUUGAGUACGAAAGAGGAUCGCGGAAUUCCCGGUGUAGAGGUGAAAUUCGUAGAUAUCGGGAGGAACACCAGUGGCGAAGGCGACUACCUGGCCUGUUCUUGACGCUGAGGCGCGAAAGCUAGGGGAGCAAACGGG